GUAGCUUGCUACUGGACCUAGCGGCGGACGGGUGAGUAAUGCUUAGGAUCUGCCUAUUAUGGGGGACAACAUCUCGAAAGGGAUGCUAAUACCGCAUACGUCCUACGGGAGAAAGCAGGGGAUCUUCGGACCUUGCGCUAAUAGAUGAGCCUAAGUCGGAUUAGCUAGUUGGUGGGGUAAAGGCCUACCAAGGCGACGAUCUGUAGCGGGUCUGAGAGGAUGAUCCGCCACACUGGGACUGAGACACGGCCCAGACUCCUACGGGAGGCAGCAGUGGGGAAUAUUGGACAAUGGGGGGAACCCUGAUCCAGCCAUGCCGCGUGUGUGAAGAAGGCCUUAUGGUUGUAAGCACUUUAAGCGAGGAGGAGGCUACUUUAUUAUACCUAGAGAUAGUGGACGUUACUCGCAGAAAAGC
rnacentral:rRNA from 1 species